rnacentral:rRNA from 1 species
GACGAACCACACAAACGUUAUUCGGAAUUACUGGGCUUAAAGGGUGCGUAGGCGGCGCGGAAAGUUGGGUGUGAAAUCCCUCGGCUCAACCGAGGAACUGCGCCCAAAACUACCGUGCUCGAGGGAGAUAGAGGUGAGCGGAACUUAGGGUGGAGCGGUGAAAUGCGUUGAUAUCCUAAGGAACACCCGUGGCGAAAGCGGCUCACUGGGUCUUCUCUGACGCUGAGGCACGAAAGCUAGGGUAGCGAACGGG